GACGAACGCUGGCAGCGUGCUUAACACAUGCAAGUCGAACGGAAAGGCCCUGCUUUUGUGGGGUGCCCGAGUGGCGAACGGGUGAGUAACACGUGAGUAACCUGCCCUUGACUUUGGGAUAACUUCAGGAAACUGGGGCUAAUACCGGAUAGGAGCUCCUGCUGCAUGGUGGGGGUUGGAAAGUUUCGGCGGUUGGGGAUGGACUCGCGGCUUAUCAGCUUGUUGGUGGGGUAGUGGCUUACCAAGGCUUUGACGGGUAGCCGGCCUGAGAGGGUGACCGGCCACAUUGGGACUGAGAUACGGCCCAGACUCCUACGGGAGGCAGCAGUGGGGAAUAUUGCACAAUGGGCGGAAGCCUGAUGCAGCAACGCCGCGUGCGGGAUGACGGCCUUCGGGUUGUAAACCGCUUUCGCCUGUGACGAAGCGUGAGUGACGGUAAUGGGUAAAGAAGCACCGGCUAACUACGUG
rnacentral:rRNA from 1 species